GGGAACUGGAGAUUCUUCAAGGCUGGAUGGAAGUAAAUCCAAAGAAAUGAUGUGUGUGACUUAUUCUAACCACACUGUGAUUACUUAGACAUAACAGCAGUUUUGUCCACGAAAUCUGUGAAUUUUACAGUCAUGCAACUAGAAGAAUCAUGACUUAUGUUUUUUGUUUGUUUGUUUGUUUGUUUUUUCAGAAGGAGUUUCGCUCUUGUUGCCCAGGCUGGAGUGCAGUGGCUCGAUCUCGGCUCACCACAACCUCUGCCUCCCAGGUUCAAGCGAUUCUCCUGCGUCAGCCUCCCAAGUAGCUGGGAUUACAGGCAUGAGCCACCACGCCCAGCUAAUUUUGUAUUUUUAGUAGAGACAGGGUGUCUCCACGUUGGUCAGGCUGGUCUCCAACUCCCGACCUUAGGUGAUCCGCCCACCUCGGCCUCCCAAAGUGCUGGGAUUACAGGCGUGAGCCACCGUGCCCGGCCGACUUAUGUUUUAUAAUUCAUAUAUUAAUAGCUGUUUUCAUUUACUUUUGAUACUUUUAGUUGUUUUAGCUGUUAACAUUUGUUUGCAUCCUUGGGAACUUAGGUAUGUACUCCCCUAUCCAUGUUAUACCCACGGUUAUCUGGAAGAACAUGGCUCUUAAGUUACUCCAGGCUGGUGUGGUCUGGGGAAGCAAGAGUUACCAUACAAUUUGGUACUUUGUUACAUGUACUCUUCUGGUGUUCACUCUAACAGGAUUCUAAGUUCCUUAAGGACAAGGACUAUCUUUCAUAACAAUGCUACUCCAA
rnacentral:lncRNA from 1 species